rnacentral:rRNA from 1 species
CCUACGGGAGGCUGCAGUGGGGAAUAUUGGACAAUGGGGGCAACCCUGAUCCAGCCAUGCCGCGUGUGUGAAGAAGGCCCUCGGGUUGUAAAGCACUUUCAGUGAGGAAGAACGCCUGGUGGUUAAUACCCAUCAGGAAAGACAUCACUCACAGAAGAAGCACCGGCUAACUCCGUGCCAGCAGCCGCGGUAAUACGGAGGGUGCGAGCGUUAAUCGGAAUUACUGGGCGUAAAGCGCGCGUAGGUGGCUUGAUAAGCCGGUUGUGAAAGCCCCGGGCUCAACCUGGGAACGGCAUCCGGAACUGUCAAGCUAGAGUGCAGGAGAGGAAGGUAGAAUUCCCGGUGUAGCGGUGAAAUGCGUAGAGAUCGGGAGGAAUACCAGUGGCGAAGGCGGCCUUCUGGACUGACACUGACACUGAGGUGCGAAAGCGUGGGUAGCAGACAGGAUUAGAUACCCGUGUAGUC